UACGUAGGGUGCGAGCGUUAAUCGGAAUUACUGGGCGUAAAGCGUGCGCAGGUGGUUUUGUAAGACAGACGUGAAAGCCCUGGGCUCAACCUAGGAAUAGCGUUUGUGACUGCAAGGCUAGAGUGCGGCAGAGGGGGAUGGAAUUUCGCGUGUAGCAGUGAAAUGCGUAGAUAUGCGAAGGAACACCAAUGGCGAAGGCAAUCCCCUGGGCCUGCACUGACGCUCAUGCACGAAAGCGUGGGGAGCAAACAGG
rnacentral:rRNA from 1 species